AGAGUUUGAUCCUGGCUCAGAUUGAACGCUUGCGGCAGGCUUAACACAUGCAAGUCGAGCGGUAACAGGGGGUGCUUGCACCCCGCUGACGAGCGGCGGACGGGUGAGUAAUGCUUAGGAAUCUGCCCAGUAGUGGGGGAUAGCCCGGGGAAACCCGGAUUAAUACCGCAUACGUCCUACGGGAGAAAGCAGGGGAUCUUCGGACCUUGCGCUACUGGAUGAGCCUAAGUCGGAUUAGCUAGUUGGUGGGGUAAAGGCCUACCAAGGCGACGAUCCGUAGCUGGUCUGAGAGGAUGAUCAGCCACAUCGGGACUGAGACACGGCCCGAACUCCUACGGGAGGCAGCAGUGGGGAAUAUUGGACAAUGGGGGCAACCCUGAUCCAGCCAUGCCGCGUGUGUGAAGAAGGCUUUCGGGUUGUAAAGCACUUUCAGCGAGGAGGAAGGCUCUGAAGUUAAUACCUUCAGGGAUUGACGUUACUCGCAGAAGAAGCACCGGCUAACUCCGUGCCAGCAGCCGCGGUAAUACGGAGGGUGCAAGCGUUAAUCGGAAUUACUGGGCGUAAAGCGCGCGUAGGUGGUUAGGUAAGCGAGAUGUGAAAGCCCCGGGCUUAACCUGGGAACGGCAUUUCGAACUGUCUGACUAGAGUGUGGUAGAGGGUAGUGGAAUUUCCUGUGUAGCGGUGAAAUGCGUAGAUAUAGGAAGGAACACCAGUGGCGAAGGCGGCUACCUGGACCAACACUGACACUGAGGUGCGAGAGCGUGGGGAGCAAACAGGAUUAGAUACCCUGGUAGUCCACGCCGUAAACGAUGUCAACUAGCCGUUGGGACUCUUGAAGUCUUAGUGGCGCAGCUAACGCACUAAGUUGACCGCCUGGGGAGUACGGCCGCAAGGUUAAAACUCAAAUGAAUUGACGGGGGCCCGCACAAGCGGUGGAGCAUGUGGUUUAAUUCGACGCAACGCGAAGAACCUUACCUGGCCUUGACAUCCAGAGAACUUUCCAGAGAUGGAUUGGUGCCUUCGGGAACUCUGAGACAGGUGCUGCAUGGCCGUCGUCAGCUCGUGUCGUGAGAUGUUGGGUUAAGUCCCGUAACGAGCGCAACCCCUAUCCCUGGUUGCUAGCAGGUAAUGCUGAGAACUCCAGGGAGACUGCCGGUGACAAACCGGAGGAAGGUGGGGAUGACGUCAGGUCAUCAUGGCCCUUACGGCCAGGGCUACACACGUGCUACAAUGGCGCGUACAGAGGGCUGCCAACUCGCGAGAGUGCGCCAAUCCCUUAAAACGCGUCGUAGUCCGGAUCGGAGUCUGCAACUCGACUCCGUGAAGUCGGAAUCGCUAGUAAUCGAGAAUCAGAAUGUCGCGGUGAAUACGUUCCCGGGCCU
rnacentral:rRNA from 1 species